AAAAAGACAAACCCUAGAUUUCUGUGUCCAACUUUAACUGUCCGUCUUAUAUGAAAUUUUUUUAUAAUUCGUAUUUUUAUUUUUGUUAGAUGAUAAAACAUAAUUAAUAUUUUAUGCGUGACUUUUUAUUUUUUUUAUAAUUUUUUUAAAUAAGACGGGCGGUCAAACAUUGGGCACGGAAACUAAGGUUUGUCUUUUUU
rnacentral:pre_miRNA from 1 species